rnacentral:rRNA from 1 species
GCGCAACCCUUGUCCUUAGUUACCAGCACGUUAUGUGGGCACUCUAAGGAGACUGCCGGUGACAAACCGGAGGAAGGUGGGGAUGACGUCAAGUCAUCAUGGCCCUUACGGCCUGGGCUACACACGUGCUACAAUGGUCGGUACAAAGGGUUGCCAAGCCGCGAGGUGGAGCUAAUCCCAUAAAACCGAUCGUAGUCCGGAUCGCAGUCUGCAACUCGACUGCGUGAAGUCGGAAUCGCUAGUAAUCGUGAAUCAGAAUGUCACGGUGAAUACGUUCCCGGGCCUU